GAUGAACGCUGGCGGCGUGCCUAAUACAUGCAAGUCGAGCGAACAGACGAGGAGCUUGCUCCUCUGACGUUAGCGGCGGACGGGUGAGUAACACGUGGAUAACCUACCUAUAAGACUGGGAUAACUUCGGGAAACCGGAGCUAAUACCGGAUAAUAUAUUGAACCGCAUGGUUUAAUAGUGAAAGACGGUUUUGCUGUUACUUAUAGAUGGAUCCGCGCCGCAUUAGCUAGUUGGUAAGGUAACGGCUUACCAAGGCAACGAUGCGUAGCCGACCUGAGAGGGUGAUCGGCCACACUGGAACUGAGACACGGUCCAGACUCCUACGGGAGGCAGCAGUAGGGAAUCUUCCGCAAUGGGCGAAAGCUUGACGGAGCAACGCCGCGUGAGUGAUGAAGGUCUUCGGAUCGUAAAACUCUGUUAUUAGGGAAGAACAAAUGUGUAAGUAACUAUGCACGUCUUGACGGUACCUAAUCAGAAAGCCACGGCUAACUACGUG
rnacentral:rRNA from 1 species